rnacentral:rRNA from 1 species
AGGACACGCUGGCGGCGUGCUUAACACAUGCAAGUCGAACGGAGUUACGUAUGAAGUAUUUCGGUACGGACUACAUAACUUAGUGGCGAACGGGUGAGUAACACGUGGGCAACCUGCCCUUAACCGGGGGAUAACAUUGUGAAAACAGUGCUAAUACCGCAUAACAGAGUAUCGGGCAUCCGAUAUUUUAAAAGGAGCAAUCCGGUUUAGGAUGGGCCCGCGUCCAAUUAGCUAGUUGGUGAGGUAACGGCUCACCAAGGCUACGAUUGGUAGCCGAACUGAGAGGUUGAUCGGCCACAUUGGAACUGAGACACGGUCCAGACUCCUACGGGAGGCAGCAGUGGGGAAUUUUGGACAAUGGGCGCAAGCCUGAUCCAGCAAUGCCGCGUGCAGGAUGAAGGCCUUCGGGUUGUAAACUGCUUUUGUACGGAACGAAAAGGCUCUGGUUAAUACCUGGGGCUCAUGACGGUACCGUAAGAAUAAGCACCGGCUAACUACGUG